GCUCCAGUUAGAAGAGGUUGAACUGUUGUUUUGUCAGGCAGACCAAGAAACAGCAGGAUAUAUCAUUUUAGCAGCAUGCUUUUCUCCCAUCUGUACAUUGUCACUCACCAAACUUUCUGAGUGUGUUGUGUUCACAUUCAGUCGAGCUAUGGGGUAGAAGGAAUAUAAUUAGCUUUAUGCUCGCUUGCAAAUUAGACCUGGCCACGGUUAAAGUGCUGAAUCUUCUGCUGGUCAUGUUUUGACUCUCAUUUGAUCCGCUUUUGAUUAAAUUUAAUGUUCAUCA
rnacentral:misc_RNA from 1 species